GCCCGCGCCCGCCCUCUGCCGGCCAAUCGGCAGUCGGCUCCAUCCAUGCUUUCGAAAGAGACAGAGGAAAAUCGCGUUUGUUUCUAUUUUAAUCUUUUGAACUGUUUUACCACAUUUUUGUAGUUUUACUAUUGACUGCGAAGGCUUUUGGAACCGUCGGAGAGUAUAAUCCUGCUCUAGUAUGUUCGAAUAUCGUCAGUGUGCACAAGUUUUCUUUGGGAGUAGGCUAAGGAAGUACAACUUUCACAACCGAUCUCAGGUGACGCACUUAAGCUUCUGUGUUUUGAUAACUCCUUGAGGAUUUGUGGAUAAGGAAUUUUGGUAUCCCAGCUCUUAGAUUCCAUCUGGAGGAAACAAGAAGUUACGAUUGGAUGUUUAAACCAACGACGUCACUGAUCUGCUUGAGUCACCAUUUCCUACCUGUUGCCAGUAUGAAGGCCUCAUUAAAGUUAAGUACUCUAUUUGGUGUCUUGUUUACUUGUCACUGUCAGUGAAUUUCAAUGUAAUUCUUUUUCAUAUGUGUUAUAUGCUCUUCUGUCUUGUUCUCUUUAAAUCUAUUGCCGAGUCUUACCUCUGUUGAAUUGCUUUUAUCAUUGAUGGGUUUCUCUCUAUUUAUCAUGUUUGUGUUUAAACUCUUUCCUGUUUUGUUUCGAAUUAUUUGGUUUUUGCCAUGUUUGUGUGUGUCCGUGUGCCCUAAGCAUAAUUUGCCUCUGUGUGUUGCUCCGUGAGUUUUGACAUUUGAUAUUGUUUUCAACGGUGUUCCUCUGUUUUGUUGUUGUUGUUUCUCUUUGCAAAUUGAAUUCUUUUUGAACUGCCUAUUGUUUUGUUUUUGCACUCUGUUGUUCUGUACUGAAAUUACUGCAAAUUAUUUUUGAUUCUUCUGUUGUGAGUGUACCCUGCCUAGUGCUUUUUUUAUCUCUGUGUGUGUUGCGAUUUGACAUUUGACUGAUUGAGCCUUGAAUUCUGAACGAUACCUUGCUUUUUGUUAUGUUGUGUUUUACUUGUGUUAAUUUUACCUUACUUGCUCCUGUCUUGAUUUUUUGCCAUGAUGUUGAGUGUAUUUCUGGUGCUUUUCUGAAGUGAUAUUAUCGAAAAUGAUUUUUGAUUCUUCUGUAUG